rnacentral:misc_RNA from 1 species
UCCAAUCCUCAACAUUCCAAGCGAGAGCUUUUUUUGUUGUAUCUACAGAAGCUUUCCAGAGUGCUCGCAAUUUUGACAUCUUUCACACCCAGUCAAGCUCUUACAACAGGUGAGGAGGUACUUCAGACCGGUACUAACGCCGUCGCCGACUGGGUAACGCCACGCCGAAAGUUAGGGGAAACCGCGCCGCCUUUGGUCAGAGAUGAGCCGCCGAAUUUGUCGGUGCAGGGAGUGGAGUCGUG